GGAUGUGCCCAGAUGGGAUUAGCUAGUAGGUGGGGUAAUGGCUCACCUAGGCGACGAUCCCUAGCUGGUCUGAGAGGAUGACCAGCCACACUGGAACUGAGACACGGUCCGGACUCCUUCGGGAGGCAGCAGGGGGUAUAUUGCCAAUGGGCGCAAUCCUGAUGCAGCCUGCUGCGUGUAUGAAGAAGGCCUUCGGGUUGUAAAGUCCUUCAGCGAGGAGGAAGGCUUGUGGUUAAUACCACAGUGAUUGACGUUUCUGCAGAAGAAGCACCGGCUAACUCCGUGCCAGCAGCCGCGGUAAUACGGAGGGUGCAGCGUUAAUCGGAAUUACUGGGCGUAAAGCGCACGCAGGCGGUUGUUAAGUCAGAUGUGAAAUCCCCGGGCUCAACCUGGGAACUGCAUUUGAAACUGGCAGGCUUGAGUCUUGUAGAGGGGGGUAGAAUUUCAGGUGUAGCGGUGAAAUGCGUAGAGAUCUGGAGGAAUACCGGUGGCGAAGGCGGCCCCCUGACAAAGACUGACGUUCAGGUGCGAAAGCGUGGGGAGCAAACAGGAUUAGAUACCCUGGUAGUCCACGCCGUAAACGAUGUCGAUUUGGGGUUGUGCCCUUGAGGCGUGGCUUCCGGAGCUAACGCGUUAAGUCGACCGCCUGGGAGUACGGCCGCAAGGUUAAAACUCAAAUGAUUGACGGGGCCCGCACAGCGGUGGAGCAUGUGUUUAUUCGAUGCAACGCGAAAACCUUACCUACUCUUGACAUCCAUAAACUUGGCAAGAUGCCUUGGUGCCUUCGGGCACUUUGAUACAGGGCUGCAUGGCUGUCUCAGCUCUGUUGGAAUGUUGGGUAAGUCCUGCAUCGAGCGCCAUCCUAUCUUGUUGCCAGCGGUUAGUCCGGACUUAUGGAGACUGCCAUGAUAACCUGAUAGGUUGAUGACGUCAGUCCUCAUUCCCUUACGACUAGCUACACAUGUCUUCAAUGGCCUAACAGGAUGCACCUCUCGGAGCAUCGGACCUUAAUGUGCUCGUAUCCGGAUUUGAGUCUGCAACUCGACUCCAUGAAGUCGGAAUCGCUAGUAAUCGUAGAUCAGAAUGCUACGGUGAAUACGUUCCCGGGCCUUGUACACACCGCCCGUCACACCAUGGGAGUGGGUUGCAAAAGAAGUAGGUAGCUUAACCUUCGGGAGGGCGCUUUACCACUUUGUGAUUCAUGACUGGGGUAAAA
rnacentral:rRNA from 1 species